AGAACCUAAGAAAGGACGAUUGUGAGGUAGUGGCCACCAACCACUGAAAGUCUAGGAAGCCAAGUGCUGGAUCCUCAAGUCUAGACCCAGAAUCUACAAGUCCUUGUUCCGAUCACUGGCUGCUGCAGCCAGCUCCCUCCUCUCGCCCAAGUCACUGUAUGCGGGUUCUCUUAACAAGGAUUGCUUGUCUCCAGCAGUCUAAUAGGAAGAGCCUCUGGUCAUUUAUCGAAGGCGUGCCAUGCCCGUGGCACCGCAAAACAGUACUGCGGAACGGGAAGUUGCUUAGCAAAGGAGACCUUGGCUCUACCCCGACACUGAAGUGGGUCUGAUGGGAAAUCAGCACAGCUUCUCAAAUUCUAUGGGUCAGAAGACACCAGCCCGGAUCCAGAGCCUGCAUGCUAGAGCUAUUGAUAGUUCAGACCAUAGUGAAUGGCUCCAAAAGGAACCCAUGACCCAGCGAACAACAACAGAAAAAGGCUCUGUAGACAAGAAGGCCUCUCUUUACUAAGCCCAGGCGAGGCGAGGCUGGUGCUGACCUCACAGGACCAAGGAGGAUGCCCCUGAGUAUGAAGACAGUCCCAGGACAAGGUGAGCUGGGGGUAACCAGAAAGAGACCCUCUCUGACCUUGCAGGCAUGGGGACUCUCCCAAACUGAAUAGCACCCACCACUUUUUGCUAAGUGGAACCUGUCACAUGAGGUAAAGACGCAAUGCACAAGGGUGUCAUAUUUCCUUAGAUAAAGCUAUUGCAUAUUAAACUGUCUGAAGUCACACACGGUUCCAUGAUCGGAACCUAUGGUGCCGGCAAAGCCUCCAACCAGUGGCCACGUUCUGUCGCCAAUAUGCCACUCAGGCCCAUAGAGUUAAAUACCCUCAGAACGGAGCAGUCCCUUGUCAGCCGUGGCCCUCCCCUGACACCGCAAAAGCUCUCAUACAGAGCUUUACAAAUACUCCCGAGGGCCCUCCAUUUAUACAGCCCCAGCUAUUAAUGAUCGCCAUGUGUGCGGAUUUCUGCCUGGCAUUCCUGGUCUGUGUCCUGCUCUCCACCUCAGCGACUCUCGGGAAGGGACCACACCUUGUCUCCACAGCCAGGAUCUCCCGCUGAGCCUCCCCUUCCACAGCGCCAGCCUCAGCAGUGAGGAUGCGGAUGGUGACGUGGGUUGGAACUUCCGGGCACAUGCCAUUUGCGCUGCUCAGAGGCAGGUCGGCGCCUGCAUCAGGGGCGUCGACGCCUGCAGGAAUGUCAAAUUAGACAUCUGUUAGUGGCGGCUGUCCCACGUGUCAGCCAUGAUACCCAAAGCCUCUCAGGCCUGAGGCUCAACUCUCUUGCAAGGGUGUUGUCACUCCAUGACUAUGUGACCUCACAACAUCUACGGCAGGAGCAGUGCUGCUCACCUGGGUGGUGUCUAAAUGUCCCUGUGCAUUGAACGUGGUCCCAACCCACAGAAUAAACCCAAACGUGGAGAUU